UGAGGAAUAUUGGUCAAUGGCGCGAGCCUGAACCAGCCAAGUCGCGUGAGGGAUGACGGCCCUACGGGUUGUAAACCUCUUUUGUCGGGGAGCAAAUUCCGCCACGUGUGGCGGAGUCGAGAGUACCCGAAGAAAAAGCAUCGGCUAACUCCGUGCCAGCAGCCGCGGUAAUACGGAGGAUGCGAGCGUUAUCCGGAUUUAUUGGGUUUAAAGGUGCGUAGGCGGACUGUCAAGUCAGCGGUAAAAUACGGGGCUCAACCUCCGGCCCGCCGUUGAAAACUGACGGUCUUGGAGUGGGCGAGAAGUAUGCGGAAAUGCGUGGUGUAGCGGUGAAAAUGCAUAGAUAUCACGCAGAACUCCGAUUGCGAAGGCAGCAUACCGGCGCCCAAACUGACGCUGAAGCACGAAAAGCGUGGGUAUCGAAACAGGAUUAGAUACC
rnacentral:rRNA from 1 species